UAAUGGUUGAUCACACAAACUAAAAUAAGAUUGUCCUACUGUAGAGCUUACCCCUUAUAGUGAAAAGGUUGUUCUAAUUUGUGCUGAUCUUUGAUAAAAUCUGAUUUUAUAUGUUACAUAUGAUAUUUUGAUCUAAUUUAGAUGUGAUCUAAAAUUAUGAUUAGAUCAAAUAUAAUUUAGAUUAGAUCUAAAUUUAUACAUAUAUGAUAUGUUUUGAUUAGAUGCCUAGUAGUCAAGUAAUCGGAUUAAACAUUCUUGGCUGUC
rnacentral:lncRNA from 1 species